CUUGUUUCAUCGAUUCUGCCUUUUUUUCUGAAAUCAAUAUCUGUAUUUUGGUUAAUAUUUUCAAAAAAAAUAUCUGUAUUUUGGUUUUAAUCACUGUAGUGAAUUUUCUUUGCUUCCAGGAUACACAACAUGGCUUUCUUAAGUAAAGUUGGAAGGAUAUUUAGGCAGACUAGCAAUUAUGUCACUGUCUCUAACUCGAUUCUACAGAGCAUCUCUUCUUCAAAAAUCUUUGUUGGAGGUAUCUCGUACAGCACUGAUAGUUUGGCUUGAGAGAAGCUUUUAGAAAAUAUGGACAAGUUGUUGAUGCCAAAAUUAUUGUGGACCGUGAAACUGGUAGAUCGAGGGGUUUUGCUUUCGUGACAUUUACUUCUAACCAGGAGGCUACUAAUGCCAUGCAGUUGGAUAGACAGCACCUUCAUGGUCGAAGAAUUAGGGUGAAUUUCGCUACUGAAAGAGGAAGUGGAUUUGGAGGAAGGGGGUUCCGUGGUCCAAGUGGUGGUGCUACUUUUUAUGAUGAUCCUCUACCCUGUGGUUACGUUUACGAUUUUUCUGUUUGGUGCCAUUGACAAUCUGGCAGUUUGGUGGUUCAGAGAACGAGAGCUUAAUCCCUCCAUAAUGUUGCAGUUUGAGAAUAAACAUAUGGAAGUUUCUUAAUUUUUUAUGUUUUUAACGUUUGUGGUUUGUUUAUCAUCGAGAAUUCUACCUCUAUAUAGAUUGGGUUAUCGCAUGUGAUUCCGCUAAAAACGGUUAGUUUCUCAGCGAAAUAUCAAGAUUCCGCCCCGUGACUCUGAUCAAUGA